CUAAAGAGUUCAAACAAGCAUUCAUCACUGAGCUAACAUGGCAGGUAUAAAUUAAAUGUCAUAAGCCACAGAUCACACUUACUUAAGCUAAAUAUCUUAAAAGGCUUUCUUUAUCCAAUGAUACUCUAAAACUUGAGGACUCUCUCUUCUAGAAAAGAUUGUCAAGAUAUAAGGGAACUCUAAGCUUAAGUAGUUGUAAACUCGUUGGUCAUAAACAUGAUACAAAUAUUUAUUCUAAUGCCUAGAUCCUUAUAAUAAAGGGAUUCAAACUGGAGGUAAAACUUACUUUGGUUAUGUGAAUGUCAAUUAGUUAAUAAUGAUGAAAGGACUCAAUAGAAUCCUUAUAUUCUAACUACAUCUUCCUUGUACAAUUAGUUAGAGAACCUUCUAAAAUAAAGAUUUCAAAUACACACCUUACCUAUGAUAAAUAAGGGUGGUGAUUAUAAUUUUUAAAAAUAUUUUACGUGAAAUUUAACUUACCGUAUUUAUUGUGGAUUCCAAAGCCAACAAUUGUAUCAAUUUAAGGGAGGCAUGAAAUUUAGAGCCUCAAAAGCUUGCAAAAGACAAAAAUUUAGGAAAGAAAAAAAGAACACUAUGGUGGCGAAUCAUAUAUAAAGGCCUUCAACUAAGUACCAUUCGUUAGCUUAUUCUAUCAAUGAAUAUUAUCUAUGUGAUUUUAGUAAAGAUACAUACAAUUACU
rnacentral:lncRNA from 1 species